AAUCAGUUCUAUCGAAAAGAAAGGAUUAUCAAAGCUGAAAUCAUGCUUUUUGACUCUUAUAUUCCGUUAUCAAGAAAAGUGCUUUAAAAAUAUUCUAUAUUGGUGAGCGAAUAUCCGGAUGAAGGAAGUUAGGGGUAAAUUAAAUGUCAAAUUUAUUUGUUUUGAAUCCGAGACUUAACUGAACAUCGAAAAUAAAAGCGAAUGAAUUACCUUGAUGUUGGUGAGAGAGCCACCGAGACGCUGUUUCAAAAGACAAGAAUUGUUGAACGGGAACGCGUUGCAAAGAUGAGCAUUAGACAAGUCAGAGGGGUCCAUUUUAUUGCACUCAAUUUGGCAUGCACCGUCUUGGUAUUUCAUUGUGGAUUGCUUAAAGCACAAGUUUCUGGUAAUUUGAAUUAUUGUGUUGAGUAU